UGUGUAACCCAGUUCCUAAAAUCAUCUCAAACAAAAGAGAAGAAAAAGUAAAACCUUUAAUGUUCAUUGUUCUUACUGUCCUUGUUUAAUAAAAGUGAAACGAGAUCAAUACAUUUAUUUAAACAUAAAAGGGACACAGAUUUAUAUAUGAUAUGCUCUGGUCAAACAAGGGUUAAGUUUUCUCAGAAGGUUGAUGAGAUCUGAUGAGAGCCUAUUGUUUUACUCCACUCCUCGCAUGUCAGCCAAUCGGUGAAGCUCUAGGCAGCUCUUGUCCCUCCUUAGUGCCAGCUCCCAAGUUUGCAGUCUCUUGCUUCUACAGCCGAACAGAGCAGGCGGACUAAAACUUUGUUAUCGAGGGCAGAGCGAAACCGGAAGGUUUACUGAGCUGUGGCUUCACGUAAACGCUGAGCAUACACUCGACGGCGGUCAGGUUUUUUAUAUGGGACGAAUCCAAAGACCAGGUCAGCGAUUCCAGAACCCAGAGUGUUCCAGUGUUCACUGGAUGGCGAACCAACCCAAGAUCCUAGGAGACGAUAUACAUACACACGCACACUCAUUUGCACAUUGAUGGACUACAAUCAUCUACUGUACAAGUAGUACGGUAGGAUAGACAAUCACACACACUCCUCAUCGGACGAACUCUAUUGCAAUACACCCGUUUGUCAUGGGCCCCACCGGUACCAUUUGGACUUAAAAAAGACUAAUACUUUUACUUGUGCACAAUUUUAUUUUAUUCUAUUGUUUUGCUACUUUGGGGGAAAUUUUAUACUUGAAGUUCUGUUAAAACUGUUGUAAUAUUGUGUUGUUUACAAAUUUCUUUUAUAAGGCUUAAAAUCACUAAAGCACUUUUAAGCCACACCACUGUGUUUAUCUGGUUUUUCUGCCAUUCAUGUACCAGAGCUCUAAGAGUCGUUCUUUAUCUUCUGAUACUAGCCCAAAUUACUUAUUACCUUGGUAAUUAUCCAUUGGUACUGUAUAUAAAUCCAGGUAAGUGCUACAGCUGCCAUUGCCGGAAACUGGAGUUUGGCUGGGCCACUCUAUGAAUUCUGGGAUAUGGUGGGCCACG
ensembl:lncRNA